rnacentral:rRNA from 1 species
UUUAGCGAUAACGAACGAGACCUUAACCUGCUAAAUAGCCAGGCUAGCUUUGGCUGGUCGCCGGCUCCUUAGAGGGACUAUCGGCUCAAGCCGAUGGAAGUUUGAGGCAAUAACAGGUCUGUGAUGCCCUUAGAUGUUCUGGGCCGCACGCGCGCUACACUGACAGAGCCAACGAGUUUCUUCUUUGACCGAAAGGUCUGGGUAAUCUUGUUAAACUCUGUCGUGCUGGGGAUAGAGCAUUGCAAUG